UAUAUGUUUUUACGAUUUUUGGAGAGUAGGUUUGAUAAUUUUGAUACAAUAACCAGGCAGAACAUGAAGAUCGUCCGUUCUGUUUUUUGCAAUAUAAGCUCAAUAAACUGAAAAGGACCUCAAUUCACAACUUCGUACUAAAGAGGCUUUGUGUCGCAAUAGUAAAACUGUCGGGUUCGCCGAGAACUUUACCACGUUUGCCGUAUUGUUCGCAAGUAACCUUGGCGCCGUGAGGGGAUUGGGAACUUCAUGAGUGCGUGAUUGCCGAAAUUUAGAUAAAAUAGAACAGUUGUGUUUGGAGAAGCGAUCCAAGUCUUUUGUGUCAGGUGUUAUCAGUUACCCAGUGAGUUGAAGUCGAGUCAAAAUAAGCAAGGAUUUCAACAUCACCGAGGAAUGCUGCUGGAAAUCAUCACUCAUCGGAUAAGGUGACUCUCCAACGAGAUGGCCCACGUUUCAGAACUUGGCAGACGAAAAUGCGGGUAGUGAUUCGGAGAAAACUGUGCCAGGAGUUUCAGAUAAGUCAACAGACUAUACCGCACCAUCUUCAGAAUCACUUUCAAUAAGCAAUGUAAGUGAUUUCAAAGACAACCAUAUAUAUGGAAAAGAAAAAGGCUGUAAAUCAAUU